AAGUCGUAACAAGGUUUCCGUAGGUGAACCUGCGGAAGGAUCAUUAUCAAUGAUAUCCAUCAUAACACUGUGAACGUAAAGAACUGUCAUUGGGGAUAUAAAAGUCCCCAAUAUAAAGUAAUAUUAUUUUACUAUUAAACAUAAAUUACAACUUAUAGCAGAGUCAAUUAAUAAAAUAAUUUCGACAACUUUUAGCAACGGAUCUCUAGGUUCUC
rnacentral:misc_RNA from 1 species